UUUAAUAGGCAGAAAAUACGGUUACAAUAACUGGAUAUAGCGUAGACAUUACCAAUUCCGAUGUAAUCAAGUCUUGGAAUACUGAUGUUUCAGACAAUGUUCUUGCUUCAACUAUUAAUAUUAACCAGGAUUGUCCAGGUUCAGUGCAGGCUGAGAUAGCUAUUUACAAGGAAGGUGAUCUUGCUAGCACAAUAUCGCUACCAUAUAAGCAGCCAUUUAAAGAGUUCCAGGGUAGCAACAUUUGCGGAUCGAUUGACGGCCCUGAACCCGACGAUGAAUCAUGCUCCGCAGUUCAAGGUGAACAGGUAAUCUCAGGAUGCGACAUAAUAUCAUGGUUCAGCAAUAUGGCCGUUGGCAGUUACGAUGCUGAUUGCGACUUCCAAAUAGAGGGCAAUUCAAUAGCGGUCGCACAUCUUCACGUGAAAGUUGAAAGUGCAUAAGACGACAAAUGUUGUUCCUCAUUUACAGUAGUUAAAAGAUGUUGACAUACGUUGACAAAAGUUGUUGACAUACAAUCGAAAAUGUUAAUACAUUUUACGUAGUAUUACGAAGGUAGCUUGUUUUAUAUGCAAUAAAUAACAUGCAUAGCACAUAUU